rnacentral:misc_RNA from 1 species
UAUCAUUAUUUAAAACAUUAAUCAUUCAAUUUUCCUGGAUUUCAUAAGUAACAUGGUUAGUUUUUCCAAGCAAUUAUAGAGAAGUGUGCUAUAAAAUGGAAUAAAAACAGAAAAAAAUACUAAUAAAUGAUGAUGGAUUCUGGAAAAUCACAAAAUCCCAGCCAAGGCUUACUUUACGAGAUAGCUCUACACACACUUUUUGCUUUAUCUGCAAUAAAAAGCUACACAAAUUGGAAAAUAUCAAAUGAAGUUAAAUCCGCGGGAAAAUUUGAUGAUCUCGUAUUUGAAUCCGAUGAAAAGUGUAUGUUGUUACAAGCAAAAUUUCAAAGUGGUAUGAAGUACACUAAAGAUUUUAUGACAGUAAAUCCCAGAAAAAGUGAUUUCAGUAUCGCAAAGUAUUUUCUGUCUUAUUUAACUUUAAAGAAAUAUUUUAAAAUAACUCGUAACUCCUUAAUACUAUGUACUGCUGCUAAGCUGAAAGUUGCUGAUAUUAUAGAUGAAUUACCUGCUGACGAAAACGUGCAGAAUAUUUUUGGUCCCGAGGCAAAAAUGUAUAAAAUUAAAAAUGAAGAAGGAAUCGUUGAGCUUUUAAACACGAUAAAACAAUUUCAGAAUAAUAUUAGUAAUGCAGAAACCGAAAAAGACAAAAAAGAAUGGAAGCAUUUGGAUAUCAAUACAGAAGACAUCAAAUCAUUCAUAUAUUCGUUUGUUAUUGUUAAAAUUAAUCUCACUAACAUCAAAUUGGUAAUUGUAAGCAAAUUAAGUGAGCUCGAUUAUGAGUAUAAUUUUCGAAUAUCGUCAUAUGAAUAUGUAAAAGAUCAUGUAGAAGAGUGGUCUCAUUUAUCAAUUAACAAUUUUGUGCCUAUGACAAAAGACUAUUUAAUGUUUAUUUUGUGUGGGGAAUAUAAUCGAAAUUUUCUUCAGAAGUCAGUUAAUACUAAAAUUUAUUUCAAAGAAAGUUAUCGGUUUAACUCACAUAAUAUUAUUUGUGUUCAGAUGUACGAUAAUACUGUUAUGCAUCUAUUAAAAAUUUUAAGAAGUAUUCAAGAAUCAGAAACGUCGUAUUUUCCUCAAAAAGAAAACACAUUAUGUUUGAUGCCAGAAAUGGAAAAUACAUUCCAUAAAAUGAAAUAUACAAUGCAAUAUAAAGUUAUAUGUGAUAUGAUAAACAUAUUUAGAUAUGACAAAAUUAAAUACUUAAUUGUUUCGUUCCUAUCACUUAAUGAAGCUCAAGUAUUAGAAUUAUAUGAGGAAAUAUGUACGAUUACUAAGAAACACCAAAAUAAAAAAGUAUUUAUAAUGAUUAAAGAACAUUAUUUGGAAAACAAUGGAACACUAGCCAAAACAAUUCAUGAUAAAAUCUACUUUAAUUCACUAGCAACUGACACACAAAAAUACAUAUUAGACAAAAACAUUUUGUUUCAAGGAGAAUUGGUAACAUUAAUGAAUUUAAUUAAUAAUACCGAAAAUAUUAUCUCAGAAAUUGAUAAACUUGAAAUCGACGAAUGUCUUAAAAAAAUAAUAUUUGACGAAGAUAAUUACUCGAUAGGUUGUAAUUUACAAACCCAAUCAAAACCUGAUGAAUUUUAUGUUGAAAGAAGCCUAAUAGCUAACUCGGAAGUAAUUGCGGAAACAAAGUUUUUCGAAAAAAUGGACAAAAAUAUAGUUGUUGUUACAGGUCCACCUGGUGCAGGCAAAACAACUUUCUUGAAACAAAUAGUAUCACUCAAAAAAGCUAAAGACAAAGUAGAUUCCAAAUUGACGUGGAUAAUUAAUGUUGAUUUAAAAAAGGCUAAACAAUUUUUCCGUAAGGAUAUUGAAAAAACCAUGAGUAAUCUAUUGUGUCACAAUGAAAAUAUAACUUCCGAUAGCUCCUAUUUAGUUCAUUCCGAAAGAAAACUUUUUGAGUCUAUGAAUAAAAUUUUAAUUAUAGACGGUCUUGACGAGAACUGUUCGGAAGAUAUCAAAAAAAUACAAAACUUAUUAGCAGAUUCCCUUCAGGCUUUGAAUAUUUCUUUGGUUAUUAUGGGCGCCAGAGAUUACGAUUUUAUCUUAAAAGAAUUAAAAGAUGUACAUAGUUGUGAAUUAGUUAGACUACUUCCGUUUUCACCUAGAGAUCAGUCUUCUUUUCUCAAAGAAUAUCUUAAACAAAUAAUACCUGUAAAUACAGAAAACGAUUUAUUUGAAGAGGUAAUAAUAGAAUUUGCUAUUGCAUUUUCAGAAUCGAUUUGUUCAACGCCAUUAUCGCUAAAAAUGAUUUCUAAAAUAAUAAAAAAUAAUAUAUUUAGAGGUGACUCUAUCGAAUCCUUAUCAAAGGUUUUUGACAAUUUUGCAAACGAAUAUUAUUUUUAUAAUUGCUAUUUAGAAGUGAGGAAAGACGAAUUUGCACAAGAUGACGAUAUAUACCGUCAAUCGUUUGAUAGGUAUAUACACUCAUUAAGAAAGUUAGCGGCUAAGAAUUUGUUUCCUGAUUUUCCUGAUCUUUUAGGUUUGCUUAAUGUUGAUGCUAGUUUUAAGAUUAAUAAAGAUGCUUUAAAUGUUGGAUUAUUAAAGGAAUCAGAUGAAGGAUAUACAUUUGUUCAUAAAACUUUUGAGGAAUAUUUUGCAGCAGAAUUGCUGUGGGAUUGUCUUUAUAAAAAAAGACAUAUUCAUGAUUUAUUGCUCAAAGUUCUUAAUGAAGUGUUUUUAAACGAUCAAUAUGAGGGUGUUUCGAAUUUUUUUGAAAGAAUUCUGGAAAUUAGUCAAAAUGAAAAAAUGUCUGAAUUAUCUAUGGCAUAUAAUUUGGCACUUACUGAGGUAAAUUGGAAAAGAAAUAUAUCGCUGUUAUCUUAUCGGGGACGCUUGUUUAUUAUUAAAUUAAUUUUUGAUAAUUAUACUAAUUUUUAUCAUAUUUUAAAAACUAAAGGUAGGUCUGGAACAGAAACGGCUUUACUUAAUUCAUGUAUUCACCCAUCUUUAGUCAAAUACUUCGUAGAAAAGGGGGCAAAGAUCGAUAAAGCCAACGAUAUCGGUUUUAUUAUUCUAAAAUUCAUGUUUAGAAAGGUACGUAUCUACACGAAUUUAAGUUUUUAUCGUAAAAUGUUCGAUAUACCCAACUAUAACAAAAGUGCGGUAGAUUUACUUAAAUUUUUAACUAGAGAAUACGCAAUGAACUUAAACUUAUGUGAUCAGUAUGGAAAUACACUCAGUUACUAUGCAGCUGGUAGUAAUUCACUUGAAGCUAUAAAAUAUAUUAAAGAGCAAGGGGCAAAUCUAAACAUUUUCAACAAGAAUAAAUAUACACCUGUACAUAUAGCUGCUAACUCAGGCGCAUUAGAGGUCCUACGAUAUCUAGUAGAAGAUUGUAAAAUGGAUCUUACCGUUUCUGAUGAUAAUGGGAAUUUACCGGCUCAUAUGGCAGCUGAUGGUAAUCAGGUUGAGAUUUUAAGUUAUUUUAAAUCAAUUGGAAUUGAGUUAAAUCAAUGUAAUAAUGACAGACAGAAUUUAGUUCACAUAGCAGCUGCAGCUGAUGCAAUUGAUGUCCUAAAUUUUCUUAAAAAUGAAUAUAAUUUUUUUUUAAAUAUAGACUUAUGUGAUAAACAUGGAUAUACACCCAGUCACCACGCAGCUGCUUAUAAUGCACGUAAAGCUAUAAGGUAUCUUAAAGAACAAGGGGCAAAUCUAAGCAUUCCCAACAAGAAUAAAUCUACACUUGUUCAUAUAGCUGCUGAGUCAGGCGCAUUAGAGGUUCUACGGUAUUUAGUAGAAGAUUGUAAGAUGGAUGUAACCGUUUCUGAUGAUAAUGGGAAUUUACCGGCGCAUAUGGCAGCUGUUGGUAAUAGAGUUGAUAUUUUAAGAUAUCUUAAAUCCAUUGAAAUUGAGUUAAAUCAAUGUAAUAAUAAAGGAGAGACUUUAGCGCACAAAGCAGCUGCAGCUGAUGCAGUUGAUGUUCUAAAUUUUCUUAAAAAUGAAUGUAAAUUUUCCUUAAAUUUAGACUUAUGUAAUAAAUAUGGAUAUACACCCAGUCACCAUGCAGCUGCUUGUAAUGCACUUAAAGCUAUAAAGUAUCUUAAAGAGCAAGGGGCAAAUCUAAGCAUUUCCACAAUGAAUAGACAUACAGUUAUUCAUAUAGCUGCUAUGGUAGGCGCAUUAGAGGUCCUACGGUAUUUAGUAGAAGAUUGUAAAAUGGAUGUUACAGUAUCUGAUAAUAAUGGGAAUUUACCGGCUCAUAUGGCGGCUGAUAGUAAUAAAGUUGAGAUUUUAAGGUAUCUUAAAUCAAUUAAAAUUGAGUUAAAUCAAUGUAAUAAUAAAGGAGAGACUUUAGUUCACCGAGCAGCUGCAGCUAAUGCAGUUGAUGUCCUAAAUUUCCUUAAAAAUGAAUGUAAAUUUUCUUAAAUUUUUCUUAAAUAUGGAUAUACAUUGAGUCACGACGCAGCUCCUUGUAAUGUACCUAAUGCUAUUAAGUAUCUUAAAGAGCAAGGGACAAAUCUAAGCAUUUCCAACAAGAAUAAAUCUACUGUUUUUAUUCAUAUAUAUUUAGAGAUUUUUUAAAUAUUUUAUAAUGUGUGUGAUUGUCCUUUUUGUAACGUUUCAACCUAUGCAAUCUCACGAGUAGUAAGUAAACAAAAUAAUUAUUAGAAGUACAUAAUUUUUAUAUUUGUAAAUUUUUGUAGAUGUCCUGAAAAAGAAUUAAAAUAAAUUCGAAAAGCUUGACAGUAAGUCAAA